GCAAAGGCUCUUCAUCAAGGACGGUUAAACCAAUCGAUCACCAUAACUGUUCUUUGAUUCCUUUCUAUCUCGCCUAAACCCUUUCUUUUUAUAUCAAAAUUUACCAUAAUAAUAUGUUUUUCAAUUCUUUUUUCAUUUCUCUAUUACCAUUACUUUAUUCAAUUGCUUGCGCCAACUAAUAAGAAGCUUGAGGAAGCGAGCAACAAUAACACCUUCGAACAAGCAACAACUAUAAGCCAAGAUUGUAGGUGGAUUGUGGAAUUUAAUUGAACAAGUUGGAGGUGGUUUCGCAGUUUUGAUCCCAUGAAUAAGUUGUGCUGUUUUGGUGGUUCCCAGCAUGUAGGAGGACGUUCAUCAUCAAGCUCUG
rnacentral:misc_RNA from 1 species